rnacentral:tRNA from 1 species
AGAGGAGUGGCAGAGUGGUUGAUUGCACCGGUCUUGAAAACCGGCAGCCCUUCACGGGGCUCGGGGGUUCGAAUCCCUCCUCCUCUG